UUAUUUAAGGUCAGGCCUGCUCUAUGAUUAAUUAAAUGGCCGCAGUAUUUUAACUGUGCAAAGGUAGCAUAAUCAUUUGCUUUUUAAUUGGAAGCUUGUAUGAAUGGUUUUAUGAAAAAUAAUCUUUCUUUAUUUUAUUUUAAAUAAAUUUAUUUUUAAGUUAAAAAGCUUAAAUUAAUAUAUUAGACGAGAAGACCCUUUAAAACUUCAUUUUAACUCCUUUAUUUUUUUUUAAUCUUAAAUAAAGGGGUUAAAAUUUCGUUGGGGUGAUGAAUAAAUUUAUUUAACUUUAUUUUUAUUUUAGCAUUAAUAUAUGUUUGUUUUGAUCCAUUUUGUUUUGAUUAGAAGAUUAAGUUACUUAAGGGAUAACAGCGUGAUUUUAUUGGAGAGUUCUUAUUAAUAAUAAAGUUUGCGACCUCGAUGUUGGAUUA
rnacentral:rRNA from 1 species